rnacentral:tRNA from 1 species
ACCUGCGUGGCUCAGUUGGUUGGGCAUCUGACUUCAGCUCAGAUCAUGAUCUCACUGUUGGUGGGUUCGAGUCCCACAUCAGGCU